AGUCAAAUACGACUUCUACAAGAACCUUCAGAAGGAAGAAUUGGGGCUGUUCAGAUGAGAAGAGGGUCACUUGGUAAUAUUGCUUCUAAUCUCUCCUUCUUCAGCUUCUUCUUACCGUCUCCUAUCUCCAAAAACUACUGAGGAUAUUCUCCAUGCUCUAAAAGUCCUUCAGUUAGAUCAAUACCACCAGUUUGUCCCUUGGUAUGAAUUUAUACUCCAAAUUACCACCUCUAAGGAAUAGAUGGGUUCUCCCUUACCACAUACACUGCCCCACGUACCAAUAUGCUUUCAGACUCCUGCUUCUAUUGCAUUCCCUUGGGGUGAAACCUACCCCUCCUUCUGCUCUUCACCAAGCCCCCAGUGUCCUCAUGCCUCCUGGUGGACGUGGUCCAUCCUUGAAGACAUAGACCAAAGAAACACGGCCUGUGCAGCACUGAGGCCCGGCUUCCAGGCAGAAUCAUUUCCUCCUCCCUUGGGCUCAGCAGCACUGGUACCAGGUUGACACCCCGACACACGCCACUGCCUGACUCCCACCAGAUCUUCUCCUCGCUGACUCCUUCCAGCCAGUCCCCAUUCCAAAUGUCACCUCCUCACAGAGACCUUCCCUGAGCACAUUGAGUCCCUGCUACCAGUUAUUCUCUAGCCCCAUUUUAAUUUCUUCAUAGCACCUGUCGCUAUAUAGCAGCCACUUCAUAGUAAUGAUUAUAUUUGUGCAUGUAUGUUUCCUGCUGAUGUCUGUAUCUCCCCUGGAGAAAGGAAGUGGGUUUCAUUCACUGCUAUUCCCCUGGUGCCCAGAACAGAACCUGGUGCAUUGCUAGGGCUGAUAAUGAACAAAUCUUGCACCCCCUCAGUGCUGUCAUUCAAGUGACAUGUUUAUAUUCUCUCUCUCUCUCUCUCUCUCUCUCUCUCUCUCUCUCUCUCUCUCUCUCAAUCACAUCCAGCUCAGUUUUCAACACUAAUCCAGUACCUGGUACAUAUUAAGAAAGUAUCAGAUAUCUGAUGAAGAAUUAAAAGAAUAGUAAGAUUCUUUCUACUUAUAUCAGGAAAGGUUUUGUCUGAGAAAACCAUCUGGUCUUUGCAUGGGUAGUGCUGAUGAUGGCUUGGGGUCAGGGGUGAUAUUUAAAAUAUGUAACCAGUUCUGUGCCUUCCUCCACCGAUCUCCUGAUGUCAGCUGUGGACUAGAGCAGGUCUCUGGAUGGGCAUCCACCCUCCCACGACUGGAUUCUGGGGUGUUCUGGGGGCACCAGGAAAGCGUUUGGAAUCAGGAGGGAUCAUGCAGUAUUUUACCAAGAUGUGUAGACAUAUUUAAAUAUUUUCACAACUGGCUGACUCUCAGCCCUUCCUGGUGCCCUCUGUAGGAGAGUGUUCACGAGCAUCACCUAUGAUUCUCAGACCUGGAGGGGUGCACAGCUGGAGCUCUGCAUCUGGAAAAGCACAGAUCCAAAGCCGGCAGCCUCAGUGUCCCUGUGGUUCAGGCCAGCG
rnacentral:lncRNA from 1 species